UAUUAUUAUUAUUAUUUAUUGAGUUUUAAGGCUGGAGUGAUUCUCCCUGCUCCAGGAGGAUCAGCGGGACACCAGGAAUGGAAGAGAGAAAAAAGGCAGCACUCACCAGGGAUUUUCCCCACAGAAACAUCACCCCGGGGGAAAAUCCCCAAGAAGAAACCCGUGCCUGGGAGUGGAAAAUCCCCAAGAAUUCACUUGAAAUUUAGAAAAAAGGAGUUGCAUUCUGGUA